rnacentral:rRNA from 1 species
AUUGAACGCUGGCGGCAGGCCUAACACAUGCAAGUCGAGCGGUAGAGAGGUGCUUGCAUCUCUUGAGAGCGGCGGACGGGUGAGUAAUGCCUAGGAAUCUGCCUAGUGGUGGGGGGAUAACGUUCGGAAACGGACGCUAAUACCGCAUACGUCCUACGGGAGAAAGCGGGGGAUCUUCGGACCUCGCGCCAUUAGAUGAGCCUAGGUCGGAUUAGCUAGUUGGUGAGGUAAUGGCUCACCAAGGCGACGAUCCGUAACUGGUCUGAGAGGAUGAUCAGUCACACUGGAACUGAGACACGGUCCAGACUCCUACGGGAGGCAGCAGUGGGGAAUAUUGGACAAUGGGCGAAAGCCUGAUCCAGCCAUGCCGCGUGUGUGAAGAAGGUCUUCGGAUUGU